CGGCUUACCAAGGCUACGAUGUUUAGGGGAUCUGAGAGGAUGACCCCCCACACUGGUACUGAGACACGGACCAGACUCCUACGGGAGGCAGCAGUAAGGAAUAUUGGUCAAUGGGCGGAAGCCUGAACCAGCCAUGCCGCGUGCAGGAAGACGGCCCUAUGGGUUGUAAACUGCUUUUAUACUGGAAUAAACCUGCUUAUGUAUAAGUAGCUGAAUGUACAGUAAGAAUAAGGAUCGGCUAACUCCGUGCCAGCAGCCGCGGUAAUACGGAGGAUCCAAGCGUUAUCCGGAUUUAUUGGGUUUAAAGGGUGCGUAGGUGGUUCAUUAAGUCAGGGGUGAAAGACGGCAGCUUAACUGUCGCAGUGCCUUUGAUACUGAUGAACUUGAAUGAACUAGAGGUAGGCGGAAUGUGACAAGUAGCGGUGAAAUGCAUAGAUAUGCCACAGAACACCAAUUGCGAAGGCAGCUUACUAUGGUUUGAUUGACACUGAGGCACGAAAGCGUGGGGAUCAAACAGGAUUAGAUACCCUGGUAGUCCACGCCCUAAACGAUGAAUACCCGAUGUUGGCGAUAUACGGUCGGCGUCUAAGCGAAAGCGUUAAGUAUUCCACCUGGGGAGUACGCCCGCAAGGGUGAAACUCAAAGGAAUUGACGGGGGCCGCACAAGCGGAGGAGCAUGUGGUUUAAUUCGAUGAUACGCGAGGAACCUUACCCGGGCUUGAAAGUUAGUGAAUAAAGCAGAGACGCUUUAGUCCUUCGGGACACGAAACUAGGUGCUGCAUGGCUGUCGUCAGCUCGUGCCGUGAGGUGUUGGGUUAAGUCCCGCAACGAGCGCAACCCCUAUGUUUAGUUGCCAGCACGUCAAGGUGGGGACUCUAAACAGACUGCCUAUGCAAAUAGAGAGGAAGGAGGGGACGACGUCAAGUCAUCAUGGCCCUUACGUCCGGGGCUACACACGUGCUACAAUGGAUGAUACAGAGGGCAGCUACCUGGCAACAGGAUGCCAAUCUCACAAAGUCAUUCACAGUUCGGAUCGGGGUCUGCAACUCGACCCCGUGAAGUUGGAUUCGCUAGUAAUCGCGUAUCAGCAAUGACGCGGUGAAUACGUUCCCGGGCCUUGUACACACCGCCCGUCAAGCCAUGGAAGCUGGAAGUGCCUGAAGUGCGUAACCGCAAGGAGCGUCCUAGGGUAAAGUCGGUAACUGGGGCUAAGUCGUAACAAGGUA
rnacentral:rRNA from 1 species